CACAAAGAAGAGAACAGGCACAGGAGUGAACAGCCGGCGACACUAACAGAGACAGGCGGGCAUAGUGCUAUGUGAUCUUAUUCACAAGCUUGUAGACCGGAAUUUGUUCAAAUUAUAGCAACAACUAAAAGAUAAACCAUCCGAAGAAUCUGAUCGAUCGGCCUCAACGUUGACUAACAUGCCACACAAUCAAGUAGCUCUUGUCGCCUCGAUUCUCGAUCGUUUGGUUUGGUUCCAGUUGAAUACUGUUCUCCAUGUCAUUAUCAUCUGCAAAACAUAUAGUUGUCAGAGCAUUAAAGGAUGUGUGGAAGGUGUUUAUAAAAGAGAGAUCUCUUCAGGCAAGAGUUGUGCAAGUGCUAAUUUACACUUCGCAAAGCUAGACCCCUAAAUGACAAAUGUUU